AGUGGAUGUAGGAAAUGGGAUCCACAUGUGUGAGGUGAGGGAACGCCCCUAAUUGCAACGGGCAGCUGAGCAAACCUGACUGAAGGCUUCCAACUGCAAGGCUGACUGAAAACCUGCCCCUAAACAAACCCAAGAAGUUUAAUAGCUACUGUGGAGACUGCAAUUGGAUGCAAAUUUUGGGUCUGGCUUUUCAGAGAUGACACAGCAAGCCCCAGGUCAGAUGUAUGCCCAGUUCACAUCGGUCAGGAGAAGAGUGGGAGAGGAAAUUGUUAUCACAAUUGCAAAAGCCUGGCAGAAAAAUUAUUACAGCGCAGCUGUUUUUAAGAAUGGGUUUCCCACAUCACCCAAUCUCAAGAGACCACCUUGAACACUGCUUGGAAGGAAAGCAGCACUGAAGACAGCCAACUGCAAAAUAACCUGAGUGGCUUCCUCAUCCCACUUUGUCAAGAGUUCUCUGAAAAAGGAAAUGAAGACUUACAGGUGGGCUGGGGCAAUCCUGUCACAAGAUGCUGCUGAUGCUGGAGGUGUGCAGCAACUUCAGAAGUUAGCAAGUUCUGUGGAAUAAAACCCCAUGAAGAACCACCUCACAGAAAGAGGCCACUUCGGUCUCUGGCAGCCUUUAAACCACAGGUUGCUGA
ensembl:lncRNA